UACGUAGGGGGCAAGCGUUGUCCGGAAUCAUUGGGCGUAAAGCGCGUGUAGGCGGCUUGGUAAGUCCGCUCUGAAAGCCCGGGGCUCAACCCCGGGAGGCGGGUGGAUACUGUCAAGCUCGAGUCCGGAAGAGGCGAGUGGAAUUCCUGGUGUAGCGGUGAAAUGCGUAGAUAUCGGGAGGAACACCAGUGGCGAAGGCGACUACCUGGCCUGUUCUUGACGCUGAGGCGCGAAAGCUGGGGGAGCAAACGGG
rnacentral:rRNA from 1 species